rnacentral:pre_miRNA from 1 species
AGUGGAAUUGCUGGGUCAUAUGGUAGUUCAAUUUUUAGUUUUUUGAGGAAUUACCACACUGUUUUCUACAACGGCUAUACCAUUUUGUAUUCCCACCAGCAAU